rnacentral:rRNA from 1 species
GGGAAGCAAUGGGCUACAUUCACUACUGCCAGUGAAUACGAAUAGCGCACUGAAACGUGCACAUUGAAGGAGGAUUUAGCAGUAAACAGGAAAUAGAGUGUUCCGCUGAAAUCGGCCCUGAAGCGCGCACACACCGCCCGUCACUCUCCCCAAGCUCACCUAACAACUAUGCCUAAGACACAAAAAAUGCAAAGGGGAGGCAAGUCGUAACAUGGUAAGCGUACCGGAAGGUGCGCUUGGAAAAGC